UCAUUUUCUUAUAAAUCCUCACAAAUUUCAGCGUAUUAGCGAGUGAAUGAACAAUGACGUAAUUGUGCCUUUACCUUCAAAUCCGUCGUUUCUGCUCAUGCAAACACGACAUUCAACUUAAUUCCUCGCUUGCAAAUCAUCAUGAAUAGUCCAGUUCCUUAAAACGAAUACAGGCUCUGUUUCAGUUUUUAAAGACUGAUUGCAAAUUAAGAAUGGAUGAGUCAAUUUACUGAUAAGCCACCAAACUCUAAUACUUUGGAUUUGGAUCACAUUUUGGAUUACAUCGUAUAAUCAAAGGGAUGGAUAACAUCCUCUUUUAGUUUCAAAUCCAAUAGACCGUCUAAUUAACACUCAAUGGGUCAAAAUCAAUCUAAUUGGACACACAUAAGAUUCCAUAUCACCUCAAACAGAGAAGAAAUAACGAAUCCUUCAAUAUGCCACUAAUUUGAAACAAAACGGCAAGAAAAAAAGUUUCACAAUCAUAAAACCUAUCUCAACUCUUUCUUCAAACAGAUUCCGUGCUAUUUUCAGUCACCAUUCAGAGGUUCAGCAAAAUUAUUGAGCUUAAAACAAAGAACAUGCAUCUCGCACCAGCAAGUAAGUAGUAACAUACAUUCAACUACACUCACUUGCCACAAUCUCAAAGCAAAACCAACAUUGUUUCAUUCAAAAAACGAAGAUAAACACUUAUUUUCAAAGCAACACCGAAGCAUUCAUCAAUUCAGCACAGAACUAAAGUUUAUACACCGAUAUAUCUAUAUUGUGGAAUAGCAUUGGAGUGAAUUGAAAUGGCCUUCGAAUUUCAAACCUCUCACUUACAAUACGUCCCUCUAUUAAAAGUUGCUGAUCCGUUCAAGAUGGUGGGGCCAUGAUCUCACGGCAGCGACUGAGUACCGUGGAGUAAUCUGUGGAAGUGAGAGAGAAAUAAUAAUCUUGUCUAUUAAUUUAUAUUUUAAAAUAAUAAUUUACACAUAAAAGUUCGCAGAGAUAAUAUCUUAAUUCUAAAUUGUAAACUCUAAACUUAUAUUAUUGAUAUUUAAGGUUUUAAUCUUUUAUAUUAUAGCAAGAGUUUUGUCGCUGUGUUUAUUAAUUUUAAUAUUUUUUAUUAUAUCAAACUUCAUACGUAAAAUAUGAUUAUUAGUUUUAUCAAAUUAUAGAUAAUGAGUUUAAUUUUGAUAUAGUAUUAAUUAAGUUUUUUAAUAGUCAACUAUUAAUAAUACACUUUCUAGUAAUUCUUUUACACCAAUUUAUAUAAUAAGAUAAAAGUAAAUAAUAUUAUUAUAUUUAUACAAUUCUCAUAACUUAUGAAAAAUCUAAUUAAUAUAUAAUAAUAAUUUCUUGCAAUCUCAAAUAUAUUUAUACAUAAUAUGAUAGACACAUUGAUGGUAUGAGCAUCUUAUCCAUAAACAUAAGUUAUAAAAAAUGAAAAGAUUAAGAAAAUCACUUUGCUUCUCCACUCCACCAUCAAAAGUGUAUCUAAUAUAAUCAAAUACUAAUGCCAUGAUCAUAUUAGACCAUGGGAACCAUUAAAACCAUCAAAUUGCCAAUAAUGCUCAAAUGGACAUCAAUCACUAAUACCAUUAUGGUGAUCAACAUUAUCCCUUUGUCAUCAUCACCAUUGUCAUCCAUUAUAUUACACUUAGAGGACCACCACCACCACCCAUUGUCAUUUUAACCAUCCUAUUCUCAUCACAUUCACCAUUGUUCCCAAACAUAAUUAAUCCAAUAAUAUUAUCUUGUCUUGAGUUAAAUUUGACAAAAAUGACGUCUCCCAAUAGAAUUUUGGUGCUUAUGCAUGCAUUUGUGCAUCUUUUUUGGGAUACAUAUCUUAUCUUUACACUCACAUUAUACUAUCAUUUGGUUGUUAAUGUUUGGAGACAAUUGGCAUUGGACAUUGAUGUUAAGUUAAAAGACUUUAGAAAUUAUGUACAUAGUAAGGUUGAGUUUAGCCUUAAUCAAAUAAAAUGUAAUGUAGUUUUUCCUACACCUUUGUAUAAAAAAUUAAUUUUUUUUUUUCAAAAUCUAGAAGUUAAAAAUAAUUUCUAGACUGUACAAUCUAGAAAUUAUAAAAAUAACUUUAAAACUAUACCAUCUGAAAGUCAAAAGUUACUUUCAAAUUAUAAAAACUUCUAAAUGGUGUAAUAAAAGAACUAGUCAUUUUUAGCUUUUAUAGUACACACUCCAAAAGUAAUUUUAACUUUUUGAAUUAUAUAAUGUAACAUUUAUUUUUGACUACCAGAUUGAAUAAUCUAGAAAUUAACAUAAGUAAGUUCAGAAAAAAAAUUGUCAAAAUAUAGUAAGACUGACCCAAAUCAAGAAUUUGGAAAUUACUUCCUGCACCUCAUCAAAUUUCUACUCCCACCCAUCAAAAUGUCUUCUGUAAAAGGAGGGAUUGAUUGGGUUCAGGAAAAAAGUUUCCAGAAUUGGUUAUUGUGUUCUGAAACAUAAAUUUCAGAAGUGGUAGGAUGCAUGAAGAAAAUGUAAGGUUCAGGAAGAAGCUGCCCAACAACUUUCAUACAUGACCCUUAUCAAUGUCUAGCAAUGAGCUAGCACAAUAACCACAUUGAUAUUUACUUGACAUUGAACAAUCUACCUCAGCAUUUAAUGUGUCAUGUCAUUAUGCUUGUAAUACUCAGUGGACAAGCAAAUGAUGAAAAUGGUGACAUUUCAUGAUCUUUCACAAAUGUGGGGAAACCCUAAUCUUAUUUUGAACAUAAAAUGAAAACCCUAACCCAACAAACACUAAACCAAGCACAUCAACAAGUUCCUAUUUUACCAACUUAUAGAGAGUUCAAAUGAAUGGGAUAUGGCACAAAAACAUGAAGGCGACAUUGGAAAACAAGAUAAACCAAAAUGAAGAAAAAAUGAGAGAUCUAUAGAGUUAAGAGAAGAUGAGAACCACAAAAAGAAACUGAGUUUUUGGAAGAUCCAAACGAAGAGUCAAAGAUGUAGUAUCCCACUUCUUAGAGAAGAUAACAUAAUAAUACCUCAGCAUGUGAUUGUGCAUGUUAAUGGCAAGUGACUUUGGGAGACAUAUAUCAAACACCUUGUUUGCAUAAUGGGUCCCUUCAAUUUCAUUCAUCUUCACCAUUACUCAUUUUUCAUAUAUGACAUAAAGCAAAACCCCCUUUCAAAUCACCAAAUUAUCUCAUUUAGCUCCAUAUCAAAUUGCUUUCUUGCUAUUCUCAAAAUUCGUACUUUAUUUAAUUAGUUCAAUUAUAAAUACUCACAAUUUAACCAUUGAAAAGGAUAUUAUUAAAGUUGUUAAGAGAAUACAUAAAUUGAAUGUUGAUAAACUUUAAGGAUGUUAUAAAUAAAUGAAAAAAAAUAAAAAAACAUAAUUUUAUAGACAGAGUAUUUUGUAGUAUGUACCUUGUGGCACUUUCAUUUUGAUGAAGAGGAUCAUGGCCUCCUCACUACCACAUAAUGCUGUGCUGGUUGGCUAGGGUUCUAAUCACCCACCAUCCAUUUUUGUUGCUGUCUCUUCUUUUCCCCCAUUCACCUACCCUUAUGGACCUUUUCAUGGACUUUCUAGUGGGCCUGGCCCACCCUCCUUCAAAUGGGCCCACCCCUCCAUUUGUGUUUUCUUGGUAGUCCCACUUAUGUCUCAAUCUUUCUUUUCAUACUCCCCACACUGCUUUGUGCCAU
rnacentral:lncRNA from 1 species